rnacentral:lncRNA from 1 species
GGGGCUUGGGGACGCUGUGUGCUGCCAGCUCGCUCAGGAAUCUCUCAUCCUUUGGACCCUGCAGGUUGUCAUAGAAACAGAUGCAGCGUCUUUUGCCUUCCGGUUCAUGUCCUUGGAUGAUUUGGAGCAAGUUGUUAUCCAUGUCACCAUGUCACUUAAGAAGGUCUUUCCAGACUCAUCCCUUGGGACACUGCUCAAGAACUGCCCCCCCAGCCUGUAUGAGAGGAUCCAGCAGAUCACAGACUCACUGGAGGAAGUGCUGCAGAGCAACCCUGGGCCAUGUGGUAAGUCCUGCCAUAACCUCCCUCAGGCAGGACCAGGAGGGUUGGAGCAC